UACGGAGGGUGCAAGCGUUGUCCGGAAUCAUUGGGCGUAAAGCGCGUGUAGGCGGCCAGAUAAGUCCGCUGUGAAAUCUCGAGGCUCAACUUCGAGCUGUCGGUGGAAACUGUCUGGCUAGAGUCCGGAAGAGGAGAAUGGAAUUCCUGGUGUAGCGGUGAAAUGCGCAGAUAUCAGGAAGAACACCCGUGGCGAAGGCGGUUCUCUGGGACGGUACUGACGCUGAGACGCGAAAGCGUGGGGAGCGAACAGG
rnacentral:rRNA from 1 species